rnacentral:rRNA from 1 species
CAGUAUCAGUCCAGGUGGUCGCCUUCGCCACUGGUGUUCCUUCCUAUAUCUACGCAUUUCACCGCUACACAGGAAAUUCCACCACCCUCUACCAUACUCUAGCUUGUCAGUUUUGAAUGCAGUUCCCAGGUUGAGCCCGGGGCUUUCACAUCCAACUUAACAAACCACCUACGCGCGCUUUACGCCCAGUAAUUCCGAUUAACGCUUGCACCCUCUGUAUUACCGCGGCUGCUGGCACAGAGUUAGCCGGUGCUUAUUCUGUCGGUAACGUCAAAACAGCAACGUAUUAAGUUACUGCCCUUCCUCCCAACUUAAAGUGCUUUACAAUCCGAAGACCUUCUUCACACACGCGGCAUGGCUGGAUCAGGCUUUCGCCCAUUGUCCAAUAUUCCCCACUGCUGCCUCCCGUAGGAGUCUGGACCGUGUCUCAGUUCCAGUGUGACUGAUCAUCCUCUCAGACCAGUUACGGAUCGUCGCCUUGGUGAGCCAUUACCUCACCAACUAGCUAAUCCGACCUAGGCUCAUCUGAUAGCGCAAGGCCCGAAGGUCCCCUGCUUUCUCCCGUAGGACGUAUGCGGUAUUAGCGUCCCUUUCGAGACGUUGUCCCCCACUACCAGGCAGAUUCCUAGGCAUUACUCACCCGUCCGCCGCUGAAUCAGAGAGCAAGCUCUCUUCAUCCGCUCGACUUGCAUGUGUUAGGCCUGCCGCCAGCGUUCAAU